GUUUCUUUUGAACCAGCAGCUGGUGGUGUGAUACUGUUAAUGUCCUUUCCCUCUUGGGAGCCAUUAGUUCUUGCAUCCUCAUGCUUCCUGGCUCUCCUUAGUGGCCUCCUCCCCACCAAACACUCUCUCAAUCUCUUUUUAUGGAACUGCCAUGGCGUUGCACUGCAGUUAAGGAAUAUUCUGUCUUCUCUGCCUUACAGCCAGAAUUACAACACUCCUCUCAAGGACCAAAGGUGCUCCUUUGAUUGGUGAGGAUACCCCAGUGGUUAUAAGUUUCAGAUUUUCACGUACAAAAUUGCGCUGUCGUACUGUGAACGAUCCUGUGUAGCUGCUGGUGCAAACUACUUUUGCUGCCACUGUAGGUGGUGCAGUCUGUGGAGGAAGUCCAUUGAUUAUAUAUGUCCACUGCAUUGAUUGUGUCUGAAAAUAACAGGAAAAAAAAAAUCAGUGACCAAAUACCUUGAAAAUUCAUCAGUGAUUUAAGAUGCAACGUUGAUUUCAAAAGAUAUUUGAAAUGUAAUGCACUGGAAUAACACAGAAUGAGAAUUGCACUCCUGGAACAGAGAACUGAAAUCACAUUCAGCUUUAUUCAGGAUCAGGCAUAACAAAGACAGGAAAUUUACCUUCCCUGGCUGAUCUAAAAUUCCUUUUUUAUUUCAAAAUCCCAGAAGUCUGUAUGUUUUUCAAAGAGCUCUGUAUGUUUUUCAAAGGUGACUAUUCCUUACUACAACAUAAAUGCCUCAAAGUUUUUACCAUAGGAUUCACUGGCAGCUCUGCUAUCUGAAACAAUGGUAAUAUCAAAUGGUGGGAUUUUCACAUUAAAAGAAUGAACAAAACUAAGACAAAAGGACUCAGACUGUGCACAAGAGAAUUGAAGCUUCAUGUUGUAAUCUCUGGUUUGAGGCACAUUUAUAUGGAUUGAAAAUGACACUCUUCAUUUGCUCUCUGUUUAUAACUGGUCUCUAGGAAUGGAACAUAUGUUUCCAUGUCAUGUCUUGUAAUGCUUGAAUCCUGCCUGAUUCUUCCUUAGUACAUGGACCUUAUUCUUACUACACAUCCCAUCCAUCCAUGCUUAAGGACUUUUAUUUCUAUGAAUAUUAGGGUAUAUUGUGGUCUACUUAUUAUGCUUCAUGUGUCCUGAAACAGAAUUUUGGUUGUUAAAAACUCAUGUGUAAUUUUUGCAGAACUUCCAAAACUUUUCCUUUCAUAAGUAUCACUUAAUUUUUGAAAGCAGGUCUUCGUUCUAAGUCUCUAGCACUUUCCUGUCAUUACAUCUGGAAAAAGGAAUAUUCCUGGGUUUUAGUUUUCUGUUCUACUUUUCUUUUAAAAAAACCCAAAACUACAAACUAACAACAGAAAUAUUACAAACCCAAAAGAUAUUACAAAAUCUCAAGUGCUGUGUCAUUAUGCCCAGUUUUGUACUGUGCAAAAGGACAAAGCAUUGCAUGGCCACUUUAAGCAUAGACUGUCAUAAAUUCCCUCACACCUAGUGACUGAAAAUCCCAUGUUUUAGAUUUGGGGUUUUUCUUUCUCUUUCUGAGAUAAAACUAAUAGAGUAAGACUGAAUAAAAAUAUGGUAUGUAUAAGUCUAUUAAAAUAUAUUCAUACAAAUGAAAUUUGGCUUUUAUACAGAACACAGAGCAUGAACAGAGUACACAGAACAUAGCAGACUCUCUGACUUUGCAGUCUUAGAGCAGGGAAGUCACAUGAAAGGAGUGGUAUUUCCAAAUUCCCAAGCUCUGCCUUUCCCCAGGACACAGCAGUGCAGGCACAGAGCUGUGCUGGCUGUGGUUCCAGAGCAGGUUUUUGUUGCUCUCCUGCUGUGUGGAACUACAGGGGCACAGCUCAUAGGAUCACCUUUCCCUGCUCCUUCUUCCAAUUUUAUCAUUACAGGGAGGAGUUGUACUUCAUGGAAUUCAUCACCCAUUUAAAACCAAUUUAAUCGUUAGAACAAUCAAUUGUAGAUAGAAACAUUACACCUAACAACAGUGUCAUUCUUCAUCUGAGGAAACAAAAGGUCAGAAAGGCUGAUAUGCUUUGAAAUUGCUCUGGAAAACAGUGCUACAGUCAAGCCUCAAAGCUCAUGGGUCUUUCCCUCAGCUGGCAGUCCAGCUUCCCACAUGGCUGGAUUUGUGGCCAAUUUUUUUCAUUCCAGUGUGAGCUCUCUGCUCCUGUUCUGCUGCUGGGCAUGUAAAUAAAAAAAAAAAAACAACCCUGCCAGAUUUGGCCUAUAGAGUGGUGCCACAAUACCUACUCAAAUUGUGGCAGAUUUUCACACUCCAUAAAUGCUAUCAACCAUCUCCAAAGCAGAGUGUGUAUAUUUGCCUUGUUAUUCAUUGCAUUUUAUCCUUUAAUUAUGGUCUAGGUAAAGCACUGCAAAAGCCACAGAGAUGAGCAGUGAACCUUCUCCACAUCCAACCUUCUGUGGAGUCAUCCCAUAUUUACAUCAACAUACAGAAGAAGGAAAAAAGCAUGGAAAAAAAUGUUUCUUGACUUUACUAAGUUUUGUUACAUCAGUUUUAUACUUGCCACUGAAAAGUUUGAAUCUAUUAUGUUUAUCUUGGUUUUCUUUCAUAUGCUUCUUCCUACCAUUCUAAUUGCUACCCUGUUCAGUGAUAAUUUAUAUUUAAAGAGUAUCAUUGCAAGUAGUUUUGAAUUUAUAAUACAGAUAUUAAACAAAAAGAAGUUUCAGAACAUUAAACCAUAAA